AGGAUAAUAGUUAAAUUAACAUUAAAGUUGCAAUUUAAAAUCAUUGUAUAUACAAUUUAUCUUA
rnacentral:tRNA from 1 species